AUCAACAGCUACACAUUUGCAUAAGAGUGCAAUGCAUGCUGGGUCCUAAUGCUGGUUUGGUCCCAAGGUGAGAAGAACCAGUCAAAAAGGUGUCUCUCUAAAGGUGUGAAUAGACACCGGGCAUACUGUAGAACAGCUCCAUGUUCUCUCCUAUUACAUUACAGAUUAUCAGGGUUACUUAUUAAACUUAGAAUUUAAAGUGAAUUUAUAAUGUAA